GGCUGGUCCGAUGGUAGUGGGUUAUCAGAACUUAUUAACAUUAGUGUCACUAAAGUCGGUAUACAACCCCCCACUGCUAAAUUUGACUGGCUUAAA
rnacentral:Y_RNA from 1 species